rnacentral:lncRNA from 1 species
GGCCCUUCCCAUUUCAUUCCCCCUCAUCUCUUCAGAGACCUAAUAUAACACCGCCUCAUGCUGCCGCCCUCCGCCUACCAGAAAUCGUCUCACGGCGGUUUCGGUCGUCCAAUCCCUUCCAAAAUUACUCCCCAGAACCACCAUGACCCCCUCUUUCCAAAUUCAUAACUACUUUCCCUCGAAUCUUGCCCAAACCUCUCGAAUUUUAGAUCUAAAGUUCAAAUCCCUAAACCUUAAUUUCCAUUAAAUCUAUGGCAUGCAUGAUCCAGGUUUCCAUUUUUAUGAUUUAGAAAGCUGAUUCACGCGAAAUUGAUGGUUUUCGUUUGUUCUUGACAAAGAACAAGCGGUCAUCAGUAGUUUCGUGAAAUCAGGACAUCCGGCGUUUGGUUUCAAACUAAUAUUGGUAAGUAUUCGUUUCUCUUUUUCUAUCUGUGUUUGUUUUUACCAUCCGUUUACCCCUUUUCUUAUAUUUUUUUUAGUAUUGUUGAUUGGUGUUAGUUUCUGAACCUAGUUUUUUUUUACGAUUAGUUCUGCAUUUGUAAUUGUUUCUUUGGCCUUUCAGUUUCGUCUUCUAGUUUUUAGAACGUUAAUCUCUGAUUUUGUUAUAUUAUUUGUUCACCUUGCUUAAUUGUCAUUCAUGAUUUUUGAAUUUCUAAUUUUUUUUAUCUUAUUGUUAAUUAGCCUUGUCUCGACUUGAUAUUUUAGUUAAUUCUAGUUCAUUAGUUUAGCUUUAAAGUCAGUAAUUUAAUUAGGUUUUGGUUUGAAACCAUUCAAAUUGGUUUUCUGUUCUGUUUUAUCAUGGAUCAAUGGGUUAACUUAAUUUAGGGAUUCAUUUCUAACCCAGUUUCAAUGAAGGCCCAAAGAAUUUGUUCACCUACUUGGGUCAACUUGACCAUUGUGAUUUUCUGAAAUAAUAAUAGGGUCAUGGGGGUAAUUUGGGUAGUCUAACCUAAGGGAACCUUAAUAAGUGAAUUAGGUGGCUGCUAAUAAGUGAUAAGGUUUAGAAAGGGCACUACUGAAUUAAAUUAAAAGCACUAAGUUAAGUGGGAUUAAAAAAUGGAAAGGAUACGUUGUAGUGGAAAAUGCACUUAUUAGAUGCCCAUUUAAGGAGAACAUUCUGACAGAGAAGAAAAAAAAAGACAUUAUGAUAUUCUGAAAGUAUUGAAAAAUACAGAUUUUUUAGAAAUAAGAAUCCAAUAAAUCAGCUAAAAACUCUCUACUCUACCAUUGAGCUUCAGUAAUUCCUGAUUCUUUUAAACUCUGGAAAUAAUAAUGUUCAGUGAUGGGAUUUGAGUUGGUUUGAUACAAGUUUUUGGAAGGUUUUGAUCAAAUUUUGUUAAAGACUACUGUUCCAUUGGAUUUUAAAUUAAUUUUCUGGUUUCAUUUAUUGAAUCUGGGCUGUGUUGUUGCUGCUGUCGAUUUAUGUUGUUUAAAAAUUGCUGAUCCUUCUUUAUUUCUUUGUCCCUUCAAUCUCAGGUACAUUCUUAGCCCCUUAAUGAUGAUUGAUUGUUGAACAUAUAAAUCAGAUGGAAUCCUAAUUGUAUACAGGUUGCAUUUGAACAUAGUUUCCCCUGUUUCUCAUACUGCUUUAAUAUUUUGUAAUAGAUAUGUAGUUUUAGAUGUUAUCUAAGCUAUCAUUUGCACAUUUAAUGUUGUGUAUGUUCAGUAGUUAUAUGUAUGGGUAAUUGGACAUGUAUGUAUGAUUCUGCUAUGUAUAUUCAAUAGUUGUAUGUAUAGGUAAUUGGACAUGUACGUAUGAUUCUUAUUUGAGAUCAGUAUGGUUCGAAGUAUUUGGCAAGCA